AUACUUACUUGGAUGGGCUCAAUAGAUGAUAAAAAAGGCCCAUGACUUUCAUUGCACUUUGAAGGAGUACCGACCUAAGGUCUAUCCAAAUGGUGAAUCAAACAUAAUAAUUUAUGGUAAUGAGGGUAUUUUCAAGUUAGUGAAAUAUUUUU
rnacentral:snRNA from 1 species